rnacentral:rRNA from 1 species
ACUGGCUAGGACGACGCUGGCGGUGCGCCUAAUGCAUGCAAGUCGAACGGACGACAUAGAUUCGUCUUUGUCGUUAGUGGCGGACGGCUGAGUAACACGUAAGUGACCUACCCUGAAGAGGGGGAUAACCCCGAGAAAUCGGGCCUAAUACCCCGUAAGCUCCGAUCGUCAAGGCGAGCGGAGGAGAGGUUCCCGGCUAGUUCGGGUUCCGCUUUAGGAGGGGCUUGCGGCCUAUCAGGUAGUUGGUGGGGUAAUGGCCUACCAAGCCGAAUACGGGUAACCGGUGUGAGAGCAUGAUCGGUCAGAGGGGGACUGAGACACGGCCCCCACUCCUACGGGAGGCAGCAGCAGGGAAUCUUGCGCAAUGGGCGAAAGCCUGACGCAGCGACACCGCGUGGGGGAAGAAGGCUUUAGGGUCGUAAACCCCUUUUAUCAGGGAGGAGAAUGGACAGUACCUGAUGAAUAAGGUUCGGCUAACUACGUGCCAGCAGCCACGGUAAUACGUAGGAACCGAGCGUUGUCCGAAUUUACUGGGCGUAAAGGGCGCGUAGGCGGCUUGUUAAGUCUUAUGUGAAAUCUCCCGGCUCAACUGGGAGGGGACAUGGGAAACUGGCAGGCUCGAGGGCAGUAGAGGGAAGCGGAAUUCCCGGAGUAGUGGUGGAAUGCGUAGAUACCGGGAGGAACACCAGAGGCGAAAGCGGCUUCCUGGGCUGUCCCUGACGCUGAGGCGCGAAAGCGUGGGGAGCAAACCGGAUUAGAUACCCGGGUAGUCCACGCCCUAAACGAUGGAUACUAGGUAUGGGGGGUAUCGACCCCUCCCGUGCCGCAGCUAACGCAAUAAGUAUCCCGCCUGGGGAGUACGGCCGCAAGGCUAAAACUCAAAGGAAUUGACGGGGGCCCGCACAAGCAGCGGAGCGUGUGG